AUUGAACGCUGGCGGAAUGCUUUACACAUGCAAGUCGAGCGGCAGCGCGGGGGCAACCCUGGCGGCGAGCGGCGAACGGGUGAGUAACACAUCGGAACGUGUCCUUAAGUGGGGGAUAGCUCGGCGAAAGCCGGAUUAAUACCGCAUAAGCUCUGAGGAGGAAAGCGGGGGCUCCGUAAGGACCUCGCGCUGUUGGAGCGGCCGAUGUCGGAUUAGCUAGUUGGUGGGGUAAAGCCCACCAAGGCGACGAUCCGUAGCUGGUCUGAGAGGAUGAUCAGCCACACUGGAACUGAGACACGGUCCAGACUCCUACGGGAGGCAGCAGUGGGGAAUAUUGGACAAUGGGCGCAAGCCUGAUCCAGCCAUGCCGCGUG
rnacentral:rRNA from 1 species